GAUGAACGCUGGCGGCGUGCCUAAUACAUGCAAGUCGAGCGAACAGACGAGGAGCUUGCUCCCCUGACGUUAGCGGCGGACGGGUGAGUAACACGUGGAUAACCUACCUAUAAGACUGGGAUAACUUCGGGAAACCGGAGCUAAUACCGGAUAAUAUAUUGAACCGCAUGGUUCAAUAGUGAAAGACGGUUUUGCUGUCACUUAUAGAUGGAUCCGCGCCGCAUUAGCUAGUUGGUAAGGUAACGGCUUACCAAGGAAACGAUGCGUAGCCGACCUGAGAGGGUGAUCGGCCACACUGGAACUGAGACACGGUCCAGACUCCUACGGGAGGCAGCAGUAGGGAAUCUUCCGCAAUGGGCGAAAGCCUGACGGAGCAACGCCGCGUGAGUGAUGAAGGUCUUCGGAUCGUAAAACUCUGUUAUUAGGGAAGAACAAAUGUGUAAGUAACUAUGCACGUCUUGACGGUACCUAAUCAGAAAGCCACGGCUAACUACGUG
rnacentral:rRNA from 1 species